CCUUGACAUACUAAGAACUUUCCAGAGAUGGAUUGGUGCCUUCGGGAACUUAGAUACAGGUGCUGCAUGGCUGUCGUCAGCUCGUGUCGUGAGAUGUUGGGUUAAGUUCCGNAACGAGCGCAACCCUUUUCCUUAUUUGCCAGCGGGUCAUGCCGGGAACUUUAAGGAUACUGCCAGUGACAAACUGGAGGAAGGCGGGGACGACGUCAAGUCAUCAUGGCCCUUACGGCCAGGGCUACACACGUGCUACAAUGGUCGGUACAAAGGGUUGCUACCUCGCGAGAGGAUGCUAAUCUCAAAAAGCCGAUCGUAGUCCGGAUCGCAGUCUGCAACUCGACUGCGUGAAGUCGGAAUCGCUAGUAAUCGCGGAUCAGAAUGCCGCGGUGAAUACGUUCCCGGGCCUUGUACACACCGCCCGUCACACCAUGGGAGUUUGUUGCACCAGAAGUAGGUAGUCUAACCGCAAGGAGGACGCUUACCACGGUGUGGCCGAUGACUGGGGUGAAGUCGUAACAAGGUAGGCGUAGAUGA
rnacentral:rRNA from 1 species